UGGUGAGUAACGCGUGAGGAACCUGCCUUUCGGAGGGGGACAACAGUUGGAAACGACUGCUAAUACCGCAUGACGUAUCGGGAUCGCAUGGUCUUGAUACCAAAGAUUUUAUCGCCGAAAGAUGGCCUCGCGUCUGAUUAGCUAGUUGGUGGGGUAACGGCCUACCAAGGCGACGAUCAGUAGCCGGACUGAGAGGUUGGCCGGCCACAUUGGGACUGAGAUACGGCCCAGACUCCUACGGAAGGCAGCAG
rnacentral:rRNA from 1 species